rnacentral:rRNA from 1 species
UCGGUAAUUCCAGCUCCAAUAGCGUAUAUUAAAGUUGUUGCAGUUAAAAAGCUCGUAGUUGGAUUUCGGAACGGCACAGCGGGUCCCAGGCUGUUUGUUUGGCGCACCCGCUGUUUUUAGCCGUCCCUAAGGUCGGACUCCCGUGGGGCCCCGCUUCCUUCGGGUUGCGGGCCCCACACUCAGGGCAUUCGACCACGUUACUGUGAAAAAAUCAGAGUGUUCAAAGCAGGCGCUCGCCUUGAAUGGAUUAGCAUGGAAUAACACAACCAGACCUCGGUCUUGUAUUGUUGGUUCGAAGACUGAUAGGCGCUUGAUUAAUAGGGACAGUUGGGGGCAUUCGUAUUCCGAUGUCAGAGGUGAAAUUCUUGGAUUCUCGGAAGACGAACUUGUGCGAAAGCAUCUGCCAAGGAUGUUUUCAUUAAUCAAGAACGAAAGUUCGGGGAUCGAAGACGAUUAGAUACCGUCGUAGUCCGAACCAUAAACGAUGCCGACUAGGGAUUGGAGGAGGUCUUUUUAGACUCCUUCAGCACCUUGUGAGAAAUCAAAGUCUUUGGGUUCCGGGGGGAGUAUGGUCGCAAGGCUGAAACUUAAAGGAAUUGACGGAAGGGCACCACCAGGAGUGGAGCCUGCGGCUUAAUUUGACUCAACACGGGGAAACUUACCAGGUCAAGUUGAUUAACUUUAUCAUCUAGAGGAAGGAGAAGUCGUAACAAGGUAGCCGU